GACGAACGCUGGCGGCGUGCUUAACACAUGCAAGUCGAACGGAAAGGCCCUGCUUUUGUGGGGUGCUCGAGUGGCGAACGGGUGAGUAACACGUGAGUAACCUGCCCUUGACUUUGUGAUAACUUCAGGAAACUGGGGCUAAUACCGGAUAGGAGCUCCUGCUGCAUGGUGGGCGUUGGAAAGUUUCGGCGGUUGGGGAUGGACUCGCGGCUUAUCAGCUUGUUGGUGGGGUAGUGGCUUACCAAGGCUUUGACGGGUAGCCGGCCUGAGAGGGGGAACGGCCACAUUGGGACUGAGAGAGGGACCAGACGGCUACGGGAGGCAGCAGGGGAGAAUAUUGCACAAUGGGCGGAAGCGUGAGGCAGAAACGCCGGGUGCGGGAUGACGGCCUUCGGGUUGUAAACCGCUGUCGCCUGUGACGAAGCGUGAGUGACGGUAAUGGGUAAAGAAGCACCGGCUAACUACGUG
rnacentral:rRNA from 1 species